rnacentral:rRNA from 1 species
AUUGAACGCUGGCGGCAGGCCUAACACAUGCAAGUCGAGCGGAUGAAGGGGGCUUGCUCCUGGAUUCAGCGGCGGACGGGUGAGUAAUGCCUAGGAAUCUGCCUGGUAGUGGGGGAUAACGUCCGGAAACGGGCGCUAAUACCGCAUACGUCCUGAGGGAGAAAGUGGGGGAUCUUCGGACCUCACGCUAUCAGAUGAGCCUAGGUCGGAUUAGCUAGUUGGUGGGGUAAAGGCCUACCAAGGCGACGAUCCGUAACUGGUCUGAGAGGAUGAUCAGUCACACUGGAACUGAGAUGCGGUACGGACUACUACAGGAGCCAGCCGUGGGGAGUGUUGGAAGAUGGGCUCAUGAUUGAUAAGUCCAUGACGCUGGGAGGAAGAAGGUUUUUUUAUUACCUAGCUCUUUUGGUUUGGACGAAGGAAAGCGCGGCAAUACCUUUCUGGCCAGACGUGGCGAUAAUAGUACGAAAACACCCGCCUGACC